ensembl:lncRNA
UGCACAUUGGCCCUUAAAGUGUCAAAUGUUUAGGCAGUGUGAAAUGACAAGCCUCAGAAAUGAAUAAGAAUUCAUGAAAUAGUGCUACUUAUGAUCUUAUCAACAAAUGUAUGAACUUUGGCCAGGUGCCAUACAAACAUCAGUAAAGUGAAUAUAUUUCGAUGCCAUAGUUAUUACAGAUAUUGUUUCUAAAAUAUAACUGGUUAAAACCUCAGGACAUUGGCAUUAGAAACAACUGGAGACAUCUCAAAAUGUACCAUUGAAAGAUCCCAUAUGUAUAUUAACUAUUUUGGUCACGAAAAUCAAUUUAUUACAUAGAUUUCAUAAAUGUUAGGUUUCAUAGACUGUAUCAUGUGACUAGUUCGCGCGUGAAGCAUCUUGACGUUUAUGGUCAAGCUCACGAACUGUGGCACACACAGCAUUAUUCUCCCAGACUGAAGAGUUUCUUUGCCACCGAGUAUUUACAGAUAUUUAAGUGAUUUUAUCUCAAGUUAUAUUGGAGAGAAUGUUGCACACACUUAUUUUGUUCUCUUUGAGUUUGUAUUCUCUGGCUGGUGAGUUAUAAACAUGUGUUUAUAUUGUCUUUACUUCAAGUAUGGUGUUCAUGUACUAUUGAAAUCGUUUAGAGGUUUUAAAUGAGCUGCUAUUAAUCUUGUUUUCCAGGUGUCUGAUACAUUCACUUGCACUAAUGUCUGUCUCUCUUUAGCCGUUGCUGCAGCACAACUUUCAGCUCCUCUGUUCCUCAGUGAAUCUGUGAUAGUGCUGAUCUCAGCUGCUGCUGGAUCUCUGGUGUAUAUGGUUUUGAUUUGGAUGUUUUGUGUGUGCAGGGGACACAAAGAGGCAGCUCAGACCCAUGAAUAUGAGACUCCUCAAUCACUCCACAAACAGAUUGGACAAAUGACGGUAAGUGUUAAAUACUAUUAAAUACCAAAUAUGUUUAACAAGUUUGUGAAAUAGCAUGCGGUAUAUGAUGUUAUUAUAUUCCAAAUAUGUCAUGCUUCCUGUGCUAACUGUUGUUAUCUGAUGUUGAACAUGUUUUAUGGUUUCUGCAGUUGUUUUGUGACUGUUUGCUGGUAUUAAAAUGUUGAUAAAUUUCCAUUCUAAAAUUUUAUGAUAAAACUCUUAAAAGUAUAAAAGACACAGAGACUCUUCCAUUACAAUACAAUACAAAAAUAAAUAAAUAAACCAUUCAGUGCA